GAACAAGCGCAGGGCAUUUAUUUCACCAUGCACUAGGAUAUAUGACAGUAACACAUCCAAAUGUUCCACAGAAUCCAGCUCUUGGGAAAUGAUGCAGUGCCUCACUUGCUGCACCGAGACAGAAAAUAUUUCUUGAGGAUUGAAAACAUUAAAAGAAGUUAUGUUGGACUACACACAGAUACACGUGCAUACAAAGACAUCGCUAGCUAUUAAUUACCAUCUUUUGUAUGUAUAAUUUAUAUAUGUGUGUGUAAAUUCAUGAAUUAAUUUAUACUUAGCUAAUUUUUAUGCAUGUAAACCUUUUGCGACUUAAAUAUGUUUAGAAAAUAAUAUUAGAGGUUAAUGGUAAGAAAAUUUCAGUAAGAGUGUGAAAUGGGAUGAAGUAAGUGGUUGUUAGUUUUGUUGAAUGGGUUGAGAGACUGUUGGCUAUACAUCUGCUUUUCUAUUGUAAAUAUGGAGUGUAUGUGUGUGUGUGUGUGUAACUUAUGUAUGUUUUGUUUUCAAGACAUAUGCAUUUUUAAGUUUUCCCAAUAAGAGAAGAGGAGACAAUAUUUUGUUUUCUUUGAAGCUUUAUUUCCAUACUAAGCCAUUCAAAAUGUUUAUAUAUUAUCUCAUAGUUUCCAAGAAGAGGUCAUUUUCAUGGCAAUAAAUGUUGUGCUUAAAAUAGAAGGAUACA
rnacentral:lncRNA from 1 species